rnacentral:rRNA from 1 species
AGAAAAUAGAUACCCUGGUAGUCUACGCCGUAAACGAUGCGCACUAGGUUCGAGGGCUACUGACGGCACUCGAGCCGAAAAACAAAAAAGCGAUAAGUGCGCCGCCUGGGGAGUACGGCCGCAAGGCUAAAACUCAAAGGAAUUGACGGGGGCUCACACAAGCGGUGGAGCAUGUGGAUUAAUUCGAAGCAACGCGAAGAACCUUACCUGGGUUUGACAUGCACGGAUGGUCUCGGGGAAACCUGAGUAAUCUGCCUUCGGGUGAAACGUGCACAGGUGCUGCAUGGCUGUCGUCAGCUCGUGCUGUGAAGUGUCGGGUUUAAGUCCCUUAACGAGCGAAACCCUUGUCGCUAGUUGCCAGCGGGUCAUGCCGGGAACUCUAGUGAGACUGCCGGCGUUAAGCCGGAGGAAGGUGGGGACGACGUCAAGUCAUCAUGGCCUUUAUGCCCAGGGUGUCACACGUGCUACAAUGGGGCGUACAGAGCGAAGCAAAGCCGCAAGGUAGAGCAAAUCGCAGAAAGCGUCCCUCAGUUCGGA